rnacentral:rRNA from 1 species
GACGAACGCUUGCGGCGUGCUUAACACAUGCAAGUCGAACGGAAAGGCCCUGCUUUUGUGGGGUGCUCGAGUGGCGAACGGGUGAGUAACACGUGAGUAACCUGCCCUUGACUUUGGGAUAACUUCAGGAAACUGGGGCUAAUACCGGAUAGGAGCUCCUGCUGCAUGGUGGGGGUUGGAAAGUUUCGGCGGUUGGGGAUGGACUCGCGGCUUAUCAGCUUGUUGGUGGGGUAGUGGCUUACCAAGGCUUUGACGGGUAGCCGGCCUGAGAGGGUGACCGGCCACAUUGGGACUGAGAUACGGCCCAGACUCCUACGGGAGGCAGCAGUGGGGAAUAUUGCACAAUGGGCGGAAGCCUGAUGCAGCAACGCCGCGUGCGGGAUGACGGCCUUCGGGUUGUAAACCGCUUUCGCCUGUGACGAAGCGUGAGUGACGGUAAUGGGUAAAGAAGCACCGGCUAACUACGUGCCAGCAGCCGCGGUGAUACGUAGGGUGCGAGCGUUGUCCGGAUUUAUUGGGCGUAAAGGGCUCGUAGGUGGUUGAUCGCGUCGGAAGUGUAAUCUUGGGGCUUAACCCUGAGCGUGCUUUCGAUACGGGUUGACUUGAGGAAGGUAGGGGAGAAUGGGAUUCCUGGUGGAGCGGUGGAAUGCGCAGAUAUCAGGAGGAACACCAGUGGCGAAGGCGGUUCUCUGGGCCUUUCCUGACGCUGAGGAGCGAAAGCGUGGGGAGCGAACAGGCUUAGAUACCCUGGUAGUCCACGCUGUAAACGGUGGGUACUAGGUGUGGGGUCCAUUCCACGGGUUCCGUGCCGUAGCUAACGCUUUAAGUACCCCGCCUGGGGAGUACGGCCGCAAGGCUAAAACUCAAAGGAAUUGACGGGGCCCCGCACAAGCGGCGGAGCAUGCGGAUUAAUUCGAUGCAACGCGUAGAACCUUACCUGGGUUUGACAUGGAUCGGGAGUGCUCAGAGAUGGGUGUGCCUCUUUUGGGGUCGGUUCACAGGUGGUGCAUGCCUGUCGUCAGCUCGUGUCGUGAGAUGUUGGGUUAAGUCCCGCAACGAGCGCAACCCUUGUUCACUGUUGCCAGCACGUUAUGGUGGGGACUCAGUGGAGACCGCCGGGGUCAACUCGGAGGAAGGUGGGGAUGACGUCAAGUCAUCAUGCCCCUUAUGUCCAGGGCUUCACGCAUGCUACAAUGGCUGGUACAGAGAGUGGCGAGCCUGUGAGGGUGAGCGAAUCUCGGAAAGCCGGUCUCAGUUCGGAUUGGGGUCUGCAACUCGACCUCAUGAAGUCGGAGUCGCUAGUAAUCGCAGAUCAGCAACGCUGCGGUGAAUACGUUCCCGGG